AUGGCUCGAGGGAUAACCUUGCGAAAGUAAGCCUAAUACCUGAAUGUCCUCUUUAGCAGGCAUCUAAAGAAGAGGAAAGAUUUAUCGGCGAUGGAUGGGGAUGCGUCCGAUUAGCUUGCCGGUGGGGUAAAGGCCCACCGGGGCGACGAUCGGUAGGGGUUCUGAGAGGAAGGUCCCCCCACAUUGGAACUGAGACACGGUCCAAACUCCUACGGGAGGCAGCAGUGAGGAAUAUUGGGUCAAUGGGCGGAAGCCUGAACCAGCCAAGUAGCGUGCAGGACGACGGCCCUAUGGGUUGUAAACUGCUUUUAUAAGGGAAUAAAGUGAGUCUCGUGAGACUUUUUGCAUGUACCUUAUGAAUAAGGACCGGCUAAUUCCGUG
rnacentral:rRNA from 1 species